rnacentral:rRNA from 1 species
AUUGAACGCUGGCGGCAGGCCUAACACAUGCAAGUCGAACGAGUGGCGGACGGGUGAGUAAUGUCUGGGAAACUGCCCGAUGGAGGGGGAUAACUACUGGAAACGGUAGCUAAUACCGCAUACCAUCGGAUGUGCCCAGAUGGGAUUAGCUAGGAGGUGGGGUAACGGCUCACCUAGGCGACGAUCCCUAGCUGGUCUGAGAGGGUGACCAGCCACACUGGCACUGAGACACGGCCCAAACUCCUACGGGAGGCAGCAGUAGGGAAUCUUCGGCAAUGGGGGGAAGCCUGACCGAGCAACGCCGCGUGAGUGAAGAAGGCCUUCGGGUUGUAAAGUACUUUCAGCGAGGAGGCGUUACUCGCAGAAGAAGCACCGGCUAACUCCGUGCCAGCAGCCGCGGUAAUUC